UACGUAGGGGGCGAGCGUUGUCCGGAGUUACUGGGCGUAAAGGGCAUGCAGGCGGUCUGGCGCGUUUUGUGUGACAGCGGGGGGCUCAACUCCCCGAGCAUGCGAAAGACGGUUGGACUUGAGGGCUCGAGAGGGACACGGAAUUCCGGGUGGAGUGGUGAAAUGCGUAGAGAUCCGGAGGAACACCGAAGGCGAAGGCAGUGUCCUGGCGAGUGACUGACGCUGAGGUGCGAAAGCCAGGGGAGCGAACGGG
rnacentral:rRNA from 1 species